AUACGUAGGUGGCGAGCGUUGUCCGGAUUUACUGGGUGUAAAGGGCGAGUAGGCGGGUAAACAAGUCAGAUGUGAAAUACCGAGGCUCAACUUCGGGGCUGCAUUUGAAACUGUUUAUCUUGAGUGAUGGAGAGGCAGGCGGAAUUCCCCGGGUGUCGGUGAAAUGCAUAGAGAUUGGGAGGAACACCAGUGGUGAAGGCGGGUAACUGGACUGCAACUGACGCUGAGGCGCGAAAGUGUGGGGAGCAAACAGGACUAGAUACCCUGGUAGUCCACACUGUAAACGAUGAAUGCUAGGUGUAAGAGGUAUCGACCCCUUUUGUGCCGGGGUUAACACAAUAAGCAUUCCGCCUGGGGAGUACGGCCGCAAGGUUGAAACUUAAAGGAAUUGACGGGG
rnacentral:rRNA from 1 species